AGUUUGAUCAUGGCUCAGAAUGAACGUUGGCGGCGUGGAUUAGGCAUGCAAGUCGUGCGCGAACUGUAGCAAUACAGGGAAAGCGGCGUAAGGGAGAGUAAUACGUAGGUAUCUACCCAUGGGUCUGGGAUAGCGGCGGGAAACUGCCGGUAAUACCAGAUAACGUCUCCGGACCAAAGGUGUGAUUCCACCUGUGGAGGAGCCUACGGCCUAUUAGCUAGUUGGCAGGGUAACGGCCUACCAAGGCUUGGAUGGGUACGGGGUGUGAGAGCAUGCCCCCGCUCACUGGGACUGAGACACUGCCCAGACACCUACGGGUGGCUGCAGUCGAGAAUCUUCGGCAAUGGGCGCAAGCCUGACCGAGCGACGCCGCGUGCGGGAUGAAGGCCUUCGGGUUGUAAACCGCUGUCGUAGGGGAUGAAGUGCAUCAGGGCAAUCCCUGGUGUUUGACAGAGCCUCGGAGGAAGCACGGGCUAAGUUCGUG
rnacentral:rRNA from 1 species